GUGUGUGUGUGUUUUUUUUUUUUUACAGUUUUAUUUAAACACAAAACAUGCACAUGAGCUGCCUACUCAUUUUCUUCACUGCACAGCCUGGCAUUGGGGUUGGUGACUCUGAUGGCCAGCUGGGUGGCCCUUUCCAUGAUGGCUUUGUGGUUCAAUUAAAUGUAGCCUCAUCUUAAUCAAUAAUAUCAAUGAAAUCACAUAUUUGAUGUGAUGGUUAUUUUUUUUUUCCUAAUAGACUUUAAAAUAAAUAUUAACUAUGAAAACUUAAAAUGUUCAUCCAUGUAUCACAUAUAAGCUUGUAUCUCCCUAGUGGGACCUGCAUCACACAUUGAGAAAGACUGAUAGUUCAUUGGAUUCUAGGCUUGUUUUUUAGCAGUGGAAAUACUUUAGAGUUUUAAUGGACCUCAAUCUGUCCAAUAGAUAACUGCUCUGAAGAAAGCUGGCCAGGGCGGCUUGGAGGAAACAUUGUGAGCAGUCUCAGCACAGUAAGAUUUGUUGCACAUCAGCAGCACUUCCUGCUCCUUGACGUUGUGGACCAGGAACUUCUGGAAGCCGUUGGGCAGCAUAUGCUUUGUUUUUUUGUUGCUCCCAUAACCAAUGUUGGACAUCAAGAUCUAGAGCUUGAACCGUCUAUGAACCCUGUUGUCAGUACCUCUGGGUUUCCGCCAGUCGUGCUUAAUUUUGACAUAUCAGUCUGACUGGUGCCCGAUGAAUUUCUUGGUUCUCUUUUUGACUAUUUUGGGCUUCACAAGGGGUAUGAAGGCAGCCAUGAUGCUGAGGAGGAGAUGGCGGCCACCUCCAUAGGCAGUGCCAAGGAAGAGAGAACAUAUCUACUUCCCUAAUGUUGGACUUGAACUGGGUGUCCAUAGUUGAAGUGUGGCCUGCCACCAUGGUGGACAGACCUUGGGCAUCUGGGGCAGACAAACCUGGAUUUAAACUUGGCUUAACCAUCCGUCAUCUGUGGACAGGCAUUUCUUAUUUAAAUAAGCUUGAUUUUUUUUAUUUCUUAACAAGAAUUAUGCUUUUUUUCCCCCCACAGAAGUUUUUUUUUUUUUUUUUUUGAGACGGAGUCUCACUCUGUUGCCCAGGCUGGAGGACAGUGGUGUGAUCUCGUCUCACUACAAGCUCCACCUCCCAGGUUCAUGCCAUUUUCCUGCCUCAGCCUCCUGAGUAGCUGGGACUACAGGUGCCCACCACCAUGCUCAGCUAAUUUUUUUGUAUUUUUAGUAGAGAUGGGGUUUCACCGUGUUAGCCAGGAUGGUCUCGAUCUCCUGACCUCGUGAUCUGCCCCCCUCAGCCUCCCAAAGUGCUGGGAUUACAGGCAUGAGCCCCCACAGAAUUUUUUGUGUGUGGAUUUAAGAGGCAACAUAUAAAAAAAAAUCUCUAGCUUUAGUGUGUUGAGUUUAGAUGUGAGAUAAAUAUCAGCUCUUUUUUCAUUUCUCAUAAGCUUGACAAGUGCUUGUACCAGAUACUACAGCCAAAGCAAAGAUGAAUAUGACAUAGGCCAGGAUGGCAAAUAAGUUUUCUUUCAUGCCCAGCUCUCAUGAAGUGGUGCAGCCUCAGGGAGUACUGUGUUGAGAUGGAUUUUAAGGGUCAGCAGGGAAGAGCGUCAUAAUGGAUUAGCCAUAUCCUUCAAGGCUCAGGAGGGGGCAUUGAGGAACACAAAUGUCACAAAUUUGCCAUCACUGAAACAGCUUUGUUUUGGGAAGUCAGAGCUAAUGGAGUGUGAAAUUCGUUUAGAAGAAAUGAAUAGCUACUGAAAAUAAGGAGAGUGGUAGACACUUUUACACGUGUUAUGUCUACGCGUGUUAUGUCUUGAAUGCACUCAGCAAACUGGAGAGGAAUGAUUUACUCUUUGCAGGACAGUGCUCCAGGUGGCCUUGGACCGACCCAGUAUUUACUCCUUUUCCACUUGUAAUUCUCAAGAAUAACUGUAGAAUGUGCCAGGAAUGUAGCAUCUGAGAUAAAGGGGGAGAUGGCUGGAACAGCCUGAGUUCUGUUCCAGUCCUGCCCCGACCUCCUAAAGAAAAAGGGUGUCCUCCGCAUGUUCUCACUCGUAAGUGGGAGUUGGAGUUGAACAAUGAGAACACAUGGACACAGGGAGGAGAACAUCACACACCGGGGCCUGUUGGGGGUGGGAGACUAGGGGAGGGAUAGCAUUAGGAGAAAUACCUAACGUAAAUGAUGGGUUGAUGGGUGCAGCAAGCCACCAUGGCACGUGUAUACCUAUGUAACGAACCUGCAUGUUCUGCACAUGUACCCCAGAACUUAAAAGUGUAAAAACAAAAGAGAAAGAAACAGGGUGUCCUUCAGUGCCUUAGCCCAGCAUGUCAUGUGACCAUAGGGAAUACAACCCAGGGUGGGCUGCUUUCUCUGGUUCCUUAGCUGCGGUGCAACUACAGCACAGGCAGACGAAGCAUUAUCUGCCUUAGGAAGCUUUUCUGAGCCUUGGGGGCCCACUUACAGUGAAUCCCAGGCUUCUGUUAUCCUUGCUGCCUAUCUAUAAGUAAUAAAUCUGCUUCAUGUAACUUGUGUGUGAAUGUGUUCCGUCUCACAGCACCCAGACAAGUUGGCAACCAGUGCAUAGUGAUCUGCUUCCCAUUAUUCUCAUGCUGUAUGAAAGAAAAUGGAAUCAUAGACAAGAAGCUUCUCCUGGGUACCUUCCUGGUCAGAAGUGUCUCCAGGAGGUGUGCUUCUACUCUGAUACUUACCACCAUCAAUUAAUUUUGACUGUUCUUCAAUUUCAUACAAGUGGAAUUAUAUAGUAUUUUCACUUUUGUGUCUGGUUGCUUUGUCAACAUAAUGUCUAUGAGAUUCACCCAUGUUGUCACGUUAGUAGUUUGUUUUUUUCAAAAAUUACAUUGUAAUACUCCAUUUUAUGAAUAUACCAUGAUUUAUUUAUCCAUUCUCCUCUCGAGUGACAUUUGGGUUGUUCAGUUUUUGGUUAUUAUGAAAAAAGCUUCUAUGAACUUGCUUGUAAUGUCUUUGGGUGGGCAUGUGAACUUAUUUCUCUUUAGUAUAUACCUAGUAGUGAAAUUGCUAUAGUUUAGGUGAAUAUUUAACUUUAGUAGAUAUGACCUGCUAUGGUCUAAAUGUUGGUGUUCUACUGAAAUUCAUAUAUUGAAACUUAAUCGUCAGUGUGAUAGUAUUAAGAGGUGGGGCCUUUUUAAGUUAGUGACUUUAUAAGAUAAGGGUGGAGCCCUCACAAAUGGGAUUAAUGCCCUUAGUAAAGGGAUUUGAGGGAGUCCUUUUGCCCAUUCCACUCUGUGAGGGCACAUAGAAGGUGCCAUCUAUAAGGAACGGGCCCUUACCAGACACCAAAUCUGCUGGUGCUUUAUUUGGAUCUCUCAGCCUCCAGAGCUAGGAGCAAUACAUUUCUGUUGUUAUAAAUUAACAAAUCUAUGUUAUUUUGUUAUAACACCAGCAAGAGACUAAGACAUAGACAUUUGCUUUUUACAGGGAAUGCUACACAAGUUCAGAGACUCAGGUCCUCUUAUUCUCUGCUGUGUCCCCAGAAUCCACAGCAGUACCUGGCUCAAAGUCAGUGCUAAUAAGUCAUUUUUGAGUAAAUUAAUAUAUCUGUAUCUUUGGCAUCCUCGUUCUUGGCUUUGUAUUAGGGCUAUUGUUUCAGUGAAUAGAGAAGUCAGAACCUCUCUCCCUGCAUCCAGAAUUCCUCUUUUGAAACAAGUAUCUUAUAAUACCUCCUUAAAUAUCUUGAAGUGAAGUUCACAGAUAAUACAACCUGUUUACACAUGUAUUUUAUUUUUAAUCAAUAUAGUAUCCUAACCAUUCUACAAAGGAAAACUCUAAAGAAAAUAAUUUAUAAUAAGGUAAUGAGUGUUGCAAUAUACAAAUAACUGGGGAUUACUACACUCAAAGUCCUCAUGAAAUACACAGACAUUUGUGACUAUAUCCGUAAUCAGUACAAAUGCCAAGUGAGAGGUGAUGUUCUGCUAAUGCAUACCAUGUUUUGCACUGUUGUUGGUGAUAUGAUUUACCAAAUAGUGACCAACUCCUGGUAAAAUUGAUCAUAAAAUAAAGUACAUUCUUUCUUCAA